CUUAGGUGGAGCCCAUUGCUCUCUGUGGGCUGUGGCCAGACUGGCACAGCCUGGGUGUGGGUGGUGCUGAGAAGCUCACGGUGCUGCCUGGAUUUGGCGGCUGUUUCCUGCCUGGGGCUAUUCUCAUUGCAAGAUCUCAGAGAGAGCUCCAGGAAGGGCAUACAGAGGACAGAGAAUGUGAGCUUCAUGGCCCAAAGCAGCUCACACGCCAUCAUUGAUAGGAUGGCAGGGCUUUUCCAGGGGCUAGGGUGACUGCUUGUAGAUUUUACAGCUUCUUUGUUUCAGAUUUUCCCUGUUAACAGCCCAAUGGCCGAUUACUUUGUGUGUCCAUGCCAAUCUGUCCAAGGAUCUGCGCGAUAGGAGGGUGUGUUCUCAAGUUGGUGGCAGGAGUGUGGCAGGACAGGCAGAGAGUGGAGCCUCUUUGGAGCCCAGUCUGGAUGGAGCACUCCAUUGGCAAAACCCACACACGGCCAAGCUCUAUAUCCACGGCAGAUUAGUGAUCCAUAUGUGGACCAACUGAUCCUCCCUCGGAUGCCAGGCAGAGGCAGCAGCAAGUGCAGCUCCCAGGCAGCCCUGCAAGAAUCACGAGGGGAAACAACCAACUCUCCACUGCUAAGCUGGGGAGUGAAGUAGGGCAAUAUCCUCAGCAACUUCAAUUCUCCCUCUUCCUCCACCUUGGAAAAAUUGUCCCGUCUGUCAAUGGCACCAACUGGGGACCAAGCUUCCAACACACAAAGAGAGAUUCUGCAUCAAUUUAAAGAUGUGUGUCAUGAUGCUAAAGCAACCACCCAGAGAUAACAGCAGUACAGCCAGGAAGCCAACAAGAGGUAAAAUGGAGUAACAGAAGAUGCUUGAUCCAAAAGAAGAAAAAUCUGCGGAAGAUUUUGAACCAGGUAGAAGAUGGCUGGAUAUUCUUUGCUGGAACCCUGGGACCCAGAGAUUAACUCAUCCUACAUGAGCAUUUGCUUCUGAUGUGGUUCACAUCUCUGCAAAGAUGUUAAUUUACAGAAAAUUGGUAGCAAUGCAGAUCUUCGUUUCCAUGGCUCUGUAAAUGAUUCUGGUCCAAGGCUACUCAAAUGAGCUUGUCAGGUAGAAAAUAUAAAGCUCUGUAAGACAAAUUCUCAUUUGACCUAGUUGUAACUUCUUCCUGGUCCCUUGUUUAUUAAAGAAGUAGGUAAAAUAUUUGCCUUGCAUUCAUUUUCCAUCUGCAUAGGGGUCAUGAUUUUAUCCUUUCCUGAAAAUCAUCCUCUGAUAGCCUUCUGUGUUAAUAUUUUCUCUGCCACUUGCUUAUGUCUAGAUGGUCAACAAAGUGGUAAAUCGGGCUCUCAUCUGUGGUACUUGCUAAUGUCUCUGGCUGAUGAUAAGGGAAGUGUUCCAAGAUGUGUUAAAUUUAAUCAAAGUGCUGAGGGUGGGGGAGAAAAAAGAGAAGUUUACCAGCUAACAGCAGUGGGCCAAACCAACCAAAAAUGAUUUCAUGUUCCUGAAAGUGCGUUGAAAUCUGGACUUGAACCCUAGUUGCAUCCUUGAGUCCUAAUUCACUGGUGCCUGACUACCAGGCACCAUUGUAUCAGCUUACAGCCCCAGUCAACCCACAAAAAACAAGGGCUUUCUUUAUGGACUCUUCUCCUAUCCUGGCCUCUCCCUGCUUUGUGUUAUCCAUAGCUGUGGCACUCUUACCCAUGGCCAUCAUAGGUUCAGCGUGAACAGUGUAUUCCUUUCUGUCCUGGCUUCUUUUGAAUGUCUUUCCCCCAUGUGCUCCUGCCAUGUGAUGCCUUCAGCCAUAUCAAGGCAUUGUGGCCCUUGUCA